rnacentral:rRNA from 1 species
UACGUAGGGUGCGAGCGUUGUCCGGAAUUAUUGGGCGUAAAGAGCUCGUAGGCGGUCUGUCGCGUCGGUCGUGAAAACUUGGGGCUUAACCCUGAGCUUGCGGUCGAUACGGGCAUGACUGGAGUUCGGUAGGGGAGACUGGAAUUCCUGGUGUAGCGGUGAAAUGCGCAGAUAUCAGGAGGAACACCGGUGGCGAAGGCGGGUCUCUGGGACGGUACUGACGCUGAGACGCGAAAGCGUGGGGAGCGAACAGG